rnacentral:lncRNA from 1 species
UGGUUCAUGCCUGUAAUCCCAGCACUUUGGGAGGCCGAGGCAGGAGGAUCACCAGAGUUUGGGAGUUCAAGACCAGUCUGACCUACAUGGAGAAACCCCAUCUCUACUAAAAAUGUAAAAUUAGCCAGGCAUGGUGGCGCAUGCCUGUAAUCCCAGCUACUCGGGAGGCUGAGGCAGGAGAAUCGCUUGAACCCGGGAGAUGGAGGUUGAGGUGAGCCGAGAUCACACCAUUGCACCAUUGCACUCCAGCCUGGGCAAUAAGAGCAAAAUUCCGUAUUAAAAAAAAAGGGGGGGGGAGAAAGGCCGGGCGCGGUGGCUCACACCUGUAAUCCCAGCACAUUGGGAGGCCAAGGUAGGCGGAUCACCUGGGGUCAGGAGUUCAAGACCAGCCUGGCUAACAUGGCUAAAAAUACAAAAAAAUUAGCUGGGUGUAGUGGUGUGCACCUGUAAUCCCAGCUACCCAGGAGGCUAAGCCAGGAGAACUGCUUGAACCCAGCGGGCAGAGGCUGCAGUGAGCCGAGAUUGUGCCACUGCACUCUAGCCUGGGUGACAGAGCAAGACUCCGUCUCAAAAAAAAAAGCCAGAUAAAAAGGUGAAAAGGCAAGCUACAGACUAGAAAGAAAGGUUUGCAAAGCACAUAUCCAACAAAUGACUACUAUCUAAAAUAUAUACUAGAGAGCUCUCAAAUUCAACAGCAUAAAAAAGAAAACAAUCAAAUUAGAACAUGGGCAAGCCAGGCAUGGUGGUGCGUACCUGUAGUCCCAGCACUUUGGGAGGCCAAAGCAGGAGGACUGCUUGAGCCCAGGAGUUCCAGACCAGCCUGGGCAACAUAGUGAGACCCCAUCUCUACAUGAAAUUAAAAAACUAGCCAGGCGUCGUGGUGCACACCUGUAGUCCCAGCUACUCAGGAAGCCAAAGCAGGAGGAUUGCUUGAUCCCAGGAGUUCAAGACCAGCCUGGGCAACAUAACAAGAUCUGAUUUCUUAAAAAACAAACAAACAAACAAACAAACAAACAAAAAAACACGAAGAAGAAAAGAACAUGGGCAAAAGAUCUGAAGGCAAAAAGACAUUUUACCAAAGAGGAAAUAUAGCAGAUGGCAAAUAAACGUAUGAAAAUAUGUUUAACAUCAUUAGCAAAAAGAAGAAUGCAAAUUAAAACCACAGUGAGAUGCCACUGCACGCUAUCAGAGUGGCUAAAAUAACAAAUAGUGACAACAUCAAAUGCUGGUGAGGAUGCAGGCAAACUGGGCCACUCAUACACUGCUGAUGGGAAAGUUAAAAGGUACGGUGACUCUGGAAACAGACUGGCAGUUUCUUAAAACAACAACAACAAAAAAAAACUAAACACAACAUGAAACUACCGCAUGAACCAGCAACUGUCCUGGGCAUUUACCCGGGAGAAAUGAAGAGUCAUGUUCAUACCACAUCCUGUAUGCAGUGUUGGCCACAGCUUUAUAUGUCACUGCUCCAAACUGGUAACACCCCGGAUGUCCUCCAAUAAGUGAGUGGUUCAGCAAACUGUGGUCCAAGCACACCAUGGAAUACUACUCAGCAAUGAAAAGGAAUGAACAGCUGACACAUAUGCAAUAAUCUGGAUGACUCUCCAGAGAAUUAUGCUGAAUGACAAAGGCCAAACCUCAAAGGUUACAUACUGAAUAAUUCCAUCACAUAACAUCAUUAAAAUGAUAAAAUUGUAGAAAUGAACAGAGUGGUGGUUGCCGGGGAUAAGGAAGAGAUGGGCUGGGAGGGAAGUGGGUGUGGCUAUAAAAGGGCAACAGGAGGGACGUGUUCUGUACCUGGCUAUCAACAAGACCCUAUCUCUACAAAAAAAAAAAAAUAGCCACGCAUGGUGGCACAUGCCUGUGGUCCCAGCUACUCAGGAGGCUGAGGCAGAAGGAUUACCUGAGCCCAGGAGUUCAAGGCUGCAGUGAGCUAUGAUCGUGCUACUGCACUCCAGCCUGGGCAACAGAGCUGUCUCUUAAAAAAGAAAAAAAAAGCUUUCAAACCUUGAUUCCGUGCUCUGAUGCCCUCCCCAGUCCAUGUCAUUCACCUUGCUGCUUUGCUGAAUGUCUAAACUCUCAGGGGUGGUUCUAUUGCUUCUCGGUUCCUCUCCAGGGCAGGGAACGCAUGCCUUACCCCUGUGUCAUG